rnacentral:misc_RNA from 1 species
GAAAUGCGUAAAGUAAUGUGAAUUGCAGAAUUCAGUGAAUCAUCGAAUCUUUGAACGCACAUUGCGCCCGCCAGUAUUCUGGCGGGCAUGCCUGUCCGAGCGUCAUUUCAACCAUCAAGCCCCCGGGCUUGUGUUGGGGACCUGCGGCUGCCCGCAGGCCCUGAAAACCAGUGGCGGGCUCGCUGUCACACCGAGCGUAGUAGCAAUCACCUCGCUCAGGGCGUGCUGCGGGUUCCGGCCGUUAAACAGCCUUACAAAACCCAAGGUUGACCUCGGAUCAGGUAGGAAGACCCGCUGAACUUAAGCA